CCCUGCCCAGAGGAAAGGCAGGAUGUUAGAGAAGAGCAAUGGGGAGACCCCCUGCACUGGGGUAAAGCAAAGGGAUGUGUCAGUCCUCAGGGCAUUGAGCUCUGUUCGGGUGCUGCUCAGGGACAGUGUUUCUGUUCACUAGCAUGGGCAUGAACUCAGCGCUAAGGUUGGUGUCAGGAUUAUUUGUGUGAUGUCAGCUUGGGAUCUCCCCAGGUGUUCCGGCACCUUGGCAGAAGUUGGGGAGGGGGGUACAGGGUCACACCACCUGUGGCCCUGCCCUCUCCCUGGCCCUGCCCCACCCUUCAUCUUCCUGCCGAGGCCCUGCCCCUGGCCAGGCUGGGAGCCUUGGCCACUAUGGAGAGCCCCUGACCCUCCACCUUCCCAUGUCCACUCUCCGGCGGGCACCACCCAGGGCAGGUGGAGGGUCCAGGGGGAAGAGGAGCAGGCGUGGGGCCACUGAGAGGGACAAGCACCAGGAAGAAGCUGCACUACACAGGGCGGAGUUGAUCAGCUGCCCCUCCAUGAAGCACAGCCAAUGCUGCGAUGCUCCACGCCUGCCCAAGGCUUGUAGUUUGGGGGGCCAACAUGGUCCCUUGCCCCCAAACAAUGCCCAUGUUAAAAAGAGGGUGAGCUUGGCCCCCUGGCCCCCUAUGUUCCAGUGCCCCUGGAUCUCCUCACUGUUAAUAGGUUAUUUUUAGGGCUGUGUGUGCCACAGCAACUGGUGAUUUGGUUGGUAACUUUCGUUACAAUCUCAUGAAGAUGUUUUCACUGGAAUUUUCUCAUAAUUUAAAGACAAUCUCCAACUGCAAACUCACCCUGUCAGUGUGCUCCUAGGGAUUCCCCAAUUUGUGUCUCCAGUGCAGAAGGCAGAGUGUCUGGCGGGGGAAAGGAGAAAAGAGACGAGAUUUCAGACUUUCAUAUUUAUAACAGCGUCCGCACUCUGUACGCAUAGAACUGUGUUUUCCUCAUGACAGAGAAACCCAGAGACACACUCAGGCAUUUAAUAUAAACUAACUGAAACCUUCUAUUUCCUCUCUCACUCAGAUAUCUCCCAGCAAUGGAACCAACGUCCUUUCAGCCUCACAACCAUCCCAGGACACACAAUCUGUAAGAGAGAUUUACCUUUCCCCUCAUCAUCCCCUCCCACCCUUCAAACUCCAGUUGGUUUGUCUCAUUCACUCACUGCUUUUUGUCGUACCCUAGACUCACAUCAUACAAAGACUUUGUCAUAAAAGUAACUUUACCCACUUUGGUUCCUUUGGCCAGGGGUCGGCAGCAUUGUGUUGUGCGACAGACACUUGACAAAAUUACCAAAGUUAGUGAUGGACAUUGGCGGGGGGUUAUGCCAUUCAGUCAUCGUUCAACUCGUAAAAUAAAGCACAAUUUUCCACACUGAAAAAAACAUAACCUAGCUAGUUAAUAAAUAAUAGACAAUAAUAAUAGUAAUAAAUUCAAUUCACGAGUGUUUUUGAAUGUCCCUCACUGCCGCAGUCAAUAUUUUUUUGUGGGUUGGGGCCUUUGAAAUAAAUAUUUAUCCUAAAACCAUAUUUCAGUGCACUGUUGUCACUGAUUUUCUAUUUUUCUUGUUUAAAUAGUAUGUCUGAUGGGAGGAUGAGUGUGUGUGUGUGUGUGUCCCACCUGUACACCGCUUACCCCAUGUCUCUCCCGUUUGUGUCCCUUACAUGGGAGAUCCCCCAUCAUGUCACAGGAUGUGGGAAGCAGAGCAGGGGGCUCUUUC